rnacentral:rRNA from 1 species
UACGAAGGGGGCUAGCGUUGCUCGGAAUUACUGGGCGUAAAGGGAGCGUAGGCGGGUCGUCAAGUUGGGGGUGAAAGCCCAGGGCUCAACCUUGGAAUUGCCUUCAAAACUGACGAUCUAGAGUAUGGAAGAGGUAAGUGGAACUCCGAGUGUAGAGGUGAAAUUCGUAGAUAUUCGGAAGAACACCAGUGGCGAAGGCGACUUACUGGUCCAUGACUGACGCUGAGGCUCGAAAGCGUGGGGGAGCAAACAGG